rnacentral:rRNA from 1 species
GACGAACGCUGGCGGCGGGCCUAACACAUGCAAGUCGAGCGGGCCGGCCGUGCUUAUGUGGGGUGCUGGAGGUGAGACCGGGGGAGUAACACGUGUGUACCCUGUCCUUUCGUGUGGGAUAACUUAAGGCAACUGAGGCUAAUACCGGAAAGGAGCUCCUGCUGAAUGGUGGGGGCGGGAAAGUUUAGGCGGUUGGGGAUGGACUCGCGGCGUAUCAGCUUGUUGGUGGGGUGGUGGCUUACCAAGGCCUUGACGGGUAGCCGGCCUGAGUGGGUGACCGGCCACAUUGGGACUGGAAUGCGGCCCAGACUACUACGGGAGGCAGCGGUGGGGAAGGGUGCACUAUGGGCUGAAGGCUGAUGCAGCAUCGCCGCGUGCGGGAUGACAUCCAUCGGUUAGUAAAGCGCAUCCGCCUGUGACGAGACGAUAGUGACGGUAAUGGGUAAAGAAGCCCCGGCUAACUACGUG